GAUGAACGCUAGCUACAGGCUUAACACAUGCAAGUCGAGGGGAAACGAUAGAGAAAGCUUGCUUUUUCUAGGCGUCGACCGGCGCACGGGUGAGUAACGCGUAUCCAACCUGCCCAUCACUUGGGGAUAACCUUGCGAAAGUAAGACUAAUACCCAAUGACGUCCAUCGCAGACAUCUGAAAGGGAUUAAAGAUUUAUCGGUGAUGGAUGGGGAUGCGUCUGAUGAGCUUGUUGGCGGGGUAACGGCCCAACAAGGCGACGAUCAGUAGGGGUUCUGAGAGGAAGGUCCCCCACAUUGGAACUGAGACACGGUCCAAACUCCUACGGGAGGCAGCAGUGAGGAAUAUUGGUCAAUGGGCGAGAGCCUGAACCAGCCAAGUAGCGUGCAGGAUGACGGCCCUAUGGGUUGUAAACUGCUUUUAUAAGGGAAUAAAGUGAGCCUCGUGAGGCUUUUUGCAUGUACCUUAUGAAUAAGGACCGGCUAAUUCCGUGCCAGCCGCCGCCGUAA
rnacentral:rRNA from 1 species